rnacentral:rRNA from 1 species
UACGUAGGGGGCUAGCGUUGUCCGGAAUCAUUGGGCGUAAAGCGCGUGUAGGCGGUCCGGUAAGUCCGCUGUGAAAGUCGGGGGCUCAACCCUCGAAUGCCGGUGGAUACUGUCGGGCUAGAGUGCGGAAGAGGCGAGUGGAAUUCCUGGUGUAGCGGUGAAAUGCGCAGAUAUUGGGAAGAACACCGGUGGCGAAGGCGGCCAUCUGGACCGUAUCUGACGCUGAGGCGCGAAAGCGUGGGGAGCAAACAGG